GUCCGCUUUAGGUUAAUUUACCAUAAUUUGAUUUAGUCCAAACUAUUUGCUAAUGGAUCGAAGAAAAUCCCAUAACUCAUUGGGCUAGAAUCAAAAUGCCACAAUUUCAGUUUGAAAGUUACAUUUAUCAAUUCCGCAACUCACUAUUUUUCUGAUUAUAUUAAUUGCGCCAAAAUAUUAAAUCAAAUGGCGUUAUUUUCCCCUUGAUAUGGUUUACCUGUAUAUGUUUUACUUAUAUUAUACAAUCCCAUGUAACAUGUACUAUAAGAAAAGGUUAUUGACAGAUGUACAAUUAUUUUAAGACGUACAUAAACAUAAUAUUCAGAAACUAAAUAAUGUAUUAGAUAUAAAGAUGUUUA
rnacentral:lncRNA from 1 species